rnacentral:rRNA from 1 species
UGGGGAAUUUUGCGCAAUGGGCUAACGCCUGACGCAGCAACGCCGCGUGGAGGAUGAAGGUCCUUGGAUUGUAAACUCCUGUCAGCAGGGAAAAAGCAACUCAACCUCAUACGUUGAGAAGUUGAUUGUACCUGCAGAGGAAGCCCCGGCUAACUCUGUGCCAGCAGCCGCGGUAAUACAGAGGGGGCAAGCGUUAUUCGGAAUUAUUGGGCGUAAAGGGCGCGUAGGCGGCCUGACAAGUGGAUGGUGAAAUCCCUCGGCUUAACCGAGGAACUGCCAUCCAGACUGUUUGGCUUGAGACCGGGAGAGGUGAGUGGAAUUCCCAGUGUAGCGGUGAAAUGCGUAGAUAUUGGGAGGAACACCAGUGGCGAAGGCGGCUCACUGGACCGGUACUGACGCUGAUGCGCGAAAGCGUGGGGAGCAAACGG